CACAAAUGUUAGCCGAGCUGCUCUUUGGUUUGUUCAUAGCUAGGGUUGGGUAUUUCGCAAUGAUGGGAACCGGGAUUAACAUUCCAAUUCUCACGGAAUCGCUCACAUUUUUUUCCAUUUCUAUUCCUUGUUGCGAUACCCGAAAGGAGAAAAUAGCCACCACCAACUAAGAAGAAGCAGCACACUGCAAAAACUGAAAUCUAAGAACUCUAGCUGCUGGGCUGCUAAAGGCAGACAAAGACAAAGAAGAAGAUGGAAAAAGAGAAGACGAUGCAACGGGACAGAGCUGAGACAAACAGGCACUGACCUGCUGCUGAGAGCUGUCUGGUGGACGGUGUGCCGGGUGAGGCUGACGGGGACCUCCUCCUACCUUGAGAUGAAGCGGGAACACUUAAUGUGCUCUUCUUGUGCUCCUCAUCCUGCUUUAUCUACAACCAACAUGGGAAUUGUAUUGGUUAUAAAUCUUUUAUUAAAAUUUAAAACGAUA